AUCGUUUCUCGGCCUUUUGGCUAUGAUCAAGUGUAGUAUCUGUUCUUAUCAGUUUAAUAAGGUGUUGGCUAUCUGGAUAAAAUAGAGAUUAAUGCAUUUUUCUAUGAGCUAGAGUACGUUAAAAGACGUGACUCGUCAGUAUUUUAAGACUAACUGUAUCUGUAAAGCCAUCUGCGUCUGUAGAUUUU